rnacentral:rRNA from 1 species
GGAUCAAUUUGUCGGUCGUGCCUCGGUAUGUACUGGUAUUAUUGGUUUCUACCUUCUGAAGAACCUUGAUGUCAUUAAUUUGGUGUCUUGGGGAAUCAGGACUGUUACUUUGAAAAUUAGAGUGUUUAAAGCAAGCAUACGCUUGAAUACAUUAGCAUGGAAUAAUGAAAUAGGACGUUUGAUUCUAUUUUGUUGGUUUCUAGGAUCGACGUAAUGAUUAAUAGGGAUAGUUUGG